GCUACACACCUUGUUACGGGUGCCCCUCACGGGGUGAAACGGGAAACCGGUGCUGCUCAGGUCCAUUGACCAGACAAAGUCCGGUGCUGCCCCCGCAACGGUAAGCGAGCGAAAGGUCUAUCCACUGUGCGUACGCGCGGGAAGGCGAUCUUUGUCAGACACCCUGUGUGUCCCUCGCAAGCCCGGAGACCGGCCCGCAAUCACUUUAUUGG
rnacentral:ncRNA from 2 species